CCUACGGGAGGCUGCAGUGGGGGAUAUUGCACAAUGGGGGGAACCCUGAUGCAGCGACGCCGCGUGGGUGAAGAAGCGCCUCGGCGCGUAAAGCCCUGUCAGCAGGGAAGAAAAUGACGGUACCUGAAGACGACGCCCCGGCUAACUACGUGCCAGCCGCCGCGGUCCUACGUAGGGGGCAAGCGUUAUCCGGAUUUACUGGGUGUAAGGGGGGCGCAGACGGCGAUGCAAGCCAGGAGUGAAAGCCCGGGGCCCACCCGCGGGACUGCUCUUGGAACUGCGUGGCUGGAGUGCAGGAGGGGCAGGCGGAAUUCCUGGUGUAGCGGUGAAAUGCGUAGAUAUCAGGAGGAACACCGGUGGCGAAGGCGGCCUGCUGGACUGCAACUGACGUUGAGGCCCGAAAGCGUGGGGAGCAAACAGGAUUAGAUACCCCAGUAGUC
rnacentral:rRNA from 1 species